ensembl:snRNA U6 U6 spliceosomal RNA
GUGCUCGCUUCGGCAGCACAUAUACUAAAACUGGAACGAUACAGAGAAGAUUAGCAUGGCCCCUGCACAAGGAUGGCACGCAAAUUCGUGAAGCGUUCCAUAUAAAG